CAGUUAAUGAGAGACUGGGUUUAUACUAAUCUCCUUAAUUGGCACUUCCUGUGGUUGAUCCUUAAAUAGUGCUCAGCUGAGGCUGAACUUUAUGCAGCUUCCAUUUGGCUCUGGACACUUGAGCAGUGAGUAUGGUUCUCCUGCAGCUCCCUUCUGACACAUGAUUACGGUUGGUGAUUAUUUUUUCCUGUUGUGCCUCCUUACAGACUGAGUGUCUGACACAUGUACAGAGCCCACAAGCUGCCAUGAGCUAUUUCUACAUGUAACUAGGUGACUACGCCUUGCAGCUUCCCCUACGUUAUAGGCUUUUUAACUUCAUUAUGUGAUCAGGCAUGUUGCCAACUUUGAAGGCCAUUCCACACAUCUGAGUGAUCUGGCUUGCCGUCCAGGUGAUUUAAGUGCCAAUCUUGAUAAAGGUCCGCAUAAGGACCGAAACGUCGAUGAAAUACGGCAUCAACAGUGAACCCGAAUAAAAAUAUACUGAAUUUACAAGUGACUUCAGAGACUAAUUUCUGGGCGCG